AUUGAACGCUGGCGGCAGGCAUAACACAUGCAAGUCGAACGAGUGGCGGACGGGUGAGUAAUGUCUGGGAAACUGCCUGAUGGAGGGGGAUAACUACUGUAAACGGUAGCUAAUACCGCAUACCCUCAGCUGUGCCCAGAUGUGAUUAGCUUGUUGGUGGGGUAACGGUCGACCAAGGCGACGCGCCCUAGAUGGUCUGAGAGGAUGACCACACACCCGGGAACUAAGACACGGUCCAGACUCCGACGUGAGGCAGCAGUGGGGGAUGUUGCACAAUGGGCGCAAGCCUGAUGCAGCCAUGCCGCGUGUAUUAAGAAGGCCUUCGGGUUGUAAAGUACUUUCAGCUGGGAGGCGUUACCCGCAGAAGAAGCACCGGCUAACUCCGUGCCAGCAGCCGCGGUAAUA
rnacentral:rRNA from 1 species